rnacentral:rRNA from 1 species
CCUACGGGAGGCAGCAGUGGGGAAUAUUGCACAAUGGGGGAAACCCUUAUGAAGAGACGCCGCGUGAGCGAUGAAGUAUUUCGGUAUGUAAAGCUCUAUCAGCAGGGAAGAAAAUGACGGUACCUGACUAAGAAGCCCCGGCUAACUACGUGCCAGCAGCCGCGGUAAUACGUAGGGGGCAAGCGUUAUCCGGAUUUACUGGGUGGAAAGGGAGCGUAGAAGGUCCUGCAAGCUAGAUGUGAAAGGCCGGGG